GUCCGCCCCGUCGGGCGGGGCCGGGCGGCGGCGGGCGGGGGGAAGGAUGAGGACGGGGAGGAUCAGGAGGGUAUCCCCGCGCGCGGUGGGCAAGGCUGGCAUCCCGGGGCCGCCGCCGGGCGGGACGAGGCGCCGUGCCGCAAGCCCAGCGGCCGUCGGGCGAGCCCGGUGCCCCGGGCGAGGCGCGGCGCUGGCCCUCGCCCGUAGGUCGCGGGGCGAGCCCGGCAGGCGUAGUUGGUACUGUUAGCGAGCCUGGCCCCUCUGCCGCCGCCCCGGGCAGUCGCGACCGAGCGGUGAGUCGUAAUUGGCUUCUGUGGCUUAGGCGAGAGCAGACCGUGUCGCCUGUUCAGUGAUUCAUUCAAGCUUGCAGUUUGAGAGUCCAUCUGCUUGUUUUAAAAGCAGAUCUUUCUCUUUCCAAUCAGAAAAAGAAACAGCAGAAUCAACAUAACAUAGCUGGAAUUCAGGUGCCAGAUGGACAGAGAACUCCCUUGAGGACUCAUCUCAAGAUCUCCACAUAUUCAAGGAGUGAGAAAUGAACCAAAGCAAGAGGUUGCCAUCUCCACACUGAUAUGCAUCCAAACCCCUGGCUACCAAAUCAAGCUUGCUGCUAUAGUACUGAAUUUUGCCUCUUGUGAGUGUGAUCGGCUUGAGGAGUCUUUUGGGAAAGUGUUCCUCUGUGCCAACUCCACGACUGACCAUCCAUGGGCAGAGCUGCUGACAAUACAGCUGCCUGCACGGAGGUGUUCAUUCUUCACUUCUUUCAGCUUUGGAACUGAAAUAGCCUGACUGAAACCAUUGUUAUCCCUGAGAAGUGAAAACAGAGAUACCAGGACCAAAUUCAUCUCCAGUGACAAUUCAUUAGGCUCAUUACCAUCAUACUAGGACAGCUUCGAACAUUGUUUCAAAAACAAGACAGAGCAGAAAUCUCUCUGCUCUUCAAUGAAUAAAUAUUGAACAGAUUCAGGAAGCUGAAGAAAAGACAGAGCAGAUAUAUGUAUUUAUCUACACAGCAGAGAGAAGUUUAAAGACAAAGGCUGGACAACUGUGUUCCAUGGGAUGAAGGAAUAAUGAAACCCACAAGGCAGCUUUUUUUGAAGACUGGAGUCUUUCUAGAACAGAAAGCGGCAGCUCCAGGCACAUCAGGAGGACUGAGAACAGUUCAUGUGUCAGCAGUCCUGCCAAAUGGACCAAAACCUGAAUGUUCUGAGUUUACAGAGGAAAAAAGGGUCCAGACAUAUUAUAUGGAGAGACUGCAACUGAAAGGGCAAUACAUGUUAGCCAAAGGAAGAUUUUUCUGUGUGGGAUGUUUGGUGCCCUGUGAAGUAAAUGCAUUUGAUUUCAGAAGGUAUCUCCUUUGGCUUUGUUCCCCACUACCACGCCUAAGAAGUUGCUGCUGUCCUGCUGGCAGUGAAGCUUCUUUUCAGACUCAUUUAUUUUUUUUUUUUCCCAAAUUUCACCAGUUUCUACAUCACUGUGCAAGCUGCAUAAGAGAUCAAGAGUGUUGGCUACUCUCAGAGCACCUGGUCUUGCCUGAAAACAUUUAAGAGUCUCUGACAGAAGCUCUAUGCCAAAUUCCCAAUUUUGUCCCCCAGUCCAACUCACAGUCUAAGUUUCUCACUUUGUUUGCAAUGCAUCUUUCCAGCAUCUUUGCCUCAGCUCUGCCUUGUUCCCUGUGCAUAAUAUCUAGUUAGCUUUUUGCAAACUGCAAAAAGCAGUUUGGGAUCAAGGGACAGGAAGAGAACUGGAAAAGCACACAACUCAUCCAGUGUGGGGGUGUAAACCAUGUACAGUCACAGCAGCAUAGAGCUGCAAUGGCAAGAAGAUAUCUCCUUCCACUCCACAUUCAGAGAAAAUGACAUUUUCAGGGCAUUUAUAUUCUGGAAUUUCAAAAUGUGUGAUCUGUCUACAUUGACUUAUCAAGUAUGUGUGGGUUUUCAUGUAUAAAGAAGUUGCUCCUCACUAAAUGUAAAAUUUGCCUCCAAGCCAGGAACUACUGGAGUUUCUAAGCAAAAAGAUAGUUCUGACAAGGUGUAUUCCCUGCAAACUUUCUCUACCCUGAUCUCCCUCUUUAAAAAAGGGAAGUUAGUGGCUUAUAAGAGCCUUAAACAUUCUUCUUAGCAUUCUUCCAAAUUCAUCUACACUACAAAAAACAAGUUACAGGGGAAAAAAUUCCCACAAUCUGCUGAUGCUUUCCACAGAGAAUAAUCAUCUGAGGAUUGGAUUUUGAAGAUCAAACUAGAGAACCAUAUAGAAGAAAAACCUCCCCUAACAUGCUUCAGGAGUAACCUGUCAUCAGUUCAAUGGACCAGCUGGUAGCCUGGCAGUAUGAUGAAUGCUCAAAACAAUGGAAAACAAUCCAAAGCACAAUGCUGGAAAAGUAAAAAUUCAAGUAGUUACUGUCUUUGAUUUGUUCUACCCCAUUCAUAUAAAUUUAUCUCUCAAUGGAAAAUACAAAAGUUGUAGUUCAACAGAAUAACCUGUGUGCUGAAGGUGUAUGUGUGGUAUCUUAUAUUCACAGACAUGUUUAUCUAGCAUUGUUCCUACCUCUGUAAGGUAUAUACCAAGCUAAUUUAAAAUAAUAAUUUUAUUUCCCUUGUAACUGUUUUCUUCACAAGUUUUAAUUAAAUAUAACAAGAAAAAUGGCAAUUGGAUUAAAUAAUGUGCUGUGAGAGUAAAACUACCCAGUAGUCAAAGAUAAAUAACAACAUAAAACCAAAAAUGCUAAUGGCAUACUAUGAGUGCAAUGAUCAGCUGAUUAGCUACUUAAUUUCUCCUUUGAAAUCAAAUUUGCAUACCUAACUUAUCAAUUCAGAUGUGACAGUAACAUUAAAAUUAAAUAUGUGUUUCAGCAUUUCAGUAAAUGACAGCCAUCAGUUAAAUAGCAAUAAUACUAGCCUUUGUGGCAAACAUGUAGAACACAUUGCCUAAUUUAUUUCAUUUUCAAAUGAACAAAGAGUGACUCUGAAUGCCUUGUUCCCCCACAAAUAUUCCUGGAAGGGUUUGUUGCUAACUCUGGAGACUGAAAGAUGGCAGCUGCAAAAAAAUAAGCACCAUUUAUAAAGUCAAAGCCCAACCUCUGAAGCAGAAGGGUACUGUUUAGACACCAGCUCCCCAGACAAGAUAAGUGUUUCGGGUGUGGUUUGGACAUAGCUGCUCACCAGACAUAUUAGGUCUCCAUGCAACAGUCUUGCUAGCAACUAAUAUCAACUCUCAAAAAGGAAAUCUGAGAUUUCUAAGGCUCUUUUACUGAGAAAAAAACCCUCAACCCGAACAUCCCUGACAAUUAAUGCUUUAUGUAAUAUUUAAUUCAUGUUCAGAAAAAAUACCACCAUAAACCACACAUCCAUGAAAUUUUGGUCAAUGUCUCCUUUACUGAUGAAAGUAUUUAGCCACUUCAGGGACAUUAAGAGCAAAAUUGUGCAAAAAAAUAAAGACAUCUCUUCUGACCCAUUUUCCAGUACUGCUAAUUAAUGUGGUGUUGUUUAGGACCAUGUAUCUGAGAUAACUAUACCUUAUAAAUGCUUUGGCAUUAUAAAUUCCUAUUUAUGAAUCUGGGAAGAGAAACAUGUGAAAAUCAUUGUGGAUGAUUAUCACUACUUUUUAAAUAUGAUUGUAAAACAAUAAGGAAAAGUAAUUUUUUUCUUUUUGUGACAAGAAUUGAAUUGCAUCACAUUCAGGUUACCUUUUCUUACAUUUUCUGUUUGUGACAAAGGUACUUGCCUGAAAUGUUAAUUCAUAGAGGAUAGAGAAGAGAAAAAGAAGAACCUGGUAGAUUGGAACUCUAUCUGCUGCUGCACAUUUGGAAUGGUGGAAACACAGCACAAAGGGAUGAAGAAACAAACCAUAGUGCAAGAUGUGUGGCAAAACCUGCAUGCAGAAAUCACAAAACUAUAAAGACUGUUAUAUAAGACUGUGAAUUACCAUAUGAUUUUCUUUGCUUACAGUAUAUACAUAUAUAUGUAGUACCCAGAUACAUGCAAGGGUGGACAAAAUAUUCUUUGCCCUGUAACAUUUAAGGUUUUUAGUCACUUCGUGCUACUUAUCAUGGUUAUUUGUCCCACGUGCAUAGCAAUGUUCUGUGUGUCAAUUUGUGAAAACUAUAGGAGAUCACCACCUACAUAAAUAAGUGUAUAAAUGGAAACAUUUAUGGAUUGAAAAAAAGAGGCUGAAAUGCUGCAUUAGUUUUGUCUUUAUUCCUUACUGAGUUUCAUAUACCUGUUAUCCCAGAAUUUAGUGUGUUUCAGCACAGAGAACUCUCUGUGUUGUCAGUCUCACAAGCAGCCUGGAGCUUCAGAGACAAAGUUUGUUAUAAGCUUAUUUCCUUUCAUUUCUUAAGUUCUUAGGAAAACCCAACAGCUUUUCUAUCUGUCAAACAUUGCCAUGCCAUAAAAAUUAGUCUGGUAGGUGUGGGCAUUAAAAUGCUUCAAUUUUCUAGCACAUAUUUAUCUCAAAAUAGUCCAUUUGCAGUAAAAGUGAAAACCUGCCUUUGCAGAGGUUUGGAGGAUUAAAGGAAACAUUUAAGAAAAGAAAGUGAGCCUGCCCAAAGCAUGCUGAGUACCCUGUCUUCUGGGCUUUGCACCAGCCUACUGUUAAUAGCAGACUUCUGCUUUUGGCAUCAAUUAGGAGGAUAAUUUCAUGAAGAAAAGUGCUGUCAGAAAACUGUAAGACCAAUGUUUUUUGAACAGGUGUUGCUCUUGAAGAGUAUUACACAGGACACAGUUUGAUCUUCUUGACUACCUGUCUGAAAAAGGUGUUGUGGAAAGAAUUCAUAUUCUGACCAUCAGCUCCUCACCUAACAGCCCUGAAGGGCACUAAUUAGUAAAUCUAAAGAUUAUAGUGACAGAAAGGAGUUGGUGGCAGAUAUUUCAUCACAAAAGAGAGUUCAAUCUGGCAGCUAAUCUCUCAUUUCUUUGAAGGGUAAAGGAAAAAAAAGUACUUUGUUUUUCAGGGAUAUUCAAAUGGGCAAGUCUAUGGACACUGGCACUUUCGUUAAAACAAAAUCCAGCGAGUGCAUUCAAACUCUCAGCCAGAUGAAAAGCCUCAGUUGCCAGUUUUUACUGGCUUAAUAUGCAACUAGCUUGUCACCAUGUCAUAAAAGAGCUGUGGUUACUUCUGUGCCAUGCCACCCCUCUAAAGCUAAGCCACCAGAAAUUGCUGAAGAGUCACUCCAUUCAUCUUCUCUCCAGCAGCCCUAACAGCACUUCUGGAGCAGGCAGACAGCAUGAGUGACAGCAGCCCUGAAGCUACUUUAAUGUGUUUCACAGACACAGGCUGGCAUUUGUUACCUGAGGUUCAGGGAUAUGCUUCAGUAAUGCCUCUUCCUUCUAGUUCAAAUUUGCUUUAAGCACUAUUCUGCUAUCCCAGAAAAACAAGGCCAAACUGCAAGCUAUUAGUUACUGCCUGGCAUAGGUGCUAGCCACAGGCAGUGCACAAUGAAAACCUUGGUUUUGGGAUUGUUUGCAACAACACUGUACUCAACUGAUUUUUGCACCAAAUAGGGUUUUUCUCCCCCUCCAUUUUUAACUAAACUUUUGCUGUAUAUAUCUGACAAUGCUAGUUUUUUAAUAAAUAAAAAACCCUUGAUGGAUUUGAAUACAAAA